GCGAAGAACCUUACCUACUCUUGACAUCCAGCGAAUCCUUUAGAGAUAGAGGAGUGCCUUCGGGAACGCUGAGACAGGUGCUGCAUGGCUGUCGUCAGCUCGUGUUGUGAAAUGUUGGGUUAAGUCCCGCAACGAGCGCAACCCUUAUCCUUUGUUGCCAGCACGUAAUGGUGGGAACUCAAAGGAGACUGCCGGUGAUAAACCGGAGGAAGGUGGGGAUGACGUCAAGUCAUCAUGGCCCUUACGAGUAGGGCUACACACGUGCUACAAUGGCAGAUACAAAGAGAAGCGACCUCGCGAGAGCAAGCGGAACUCAUAAAGUCUGUCGUAGUCCGGAUUGGAGUCUGCAACUCGACUCCAUGAAGUCGGAAUCGCUAGUAAUCGUAGAUCAGAAUGCUACGGUGAAUACGUUCCCGGGCCUUGUACACACCGCCCGUCACACCAUGGGAGUGGGUUGCAAAAGAAGUAGGUAGCUUAACCUUCGGGAGGGCGCUUACCA
rnacentral:rRNA from 1 species